rnacentral:rRNA from 1 species
UACGGGGGGGGCAAGCGUUGUCCGGAAUUAUUGGGCGUAAAGAGCUCGUAGGCGGUCUGUUGCGUCCGCUGUGAAAACUCGGGGCUUAACCCCGAGCCUGCAGUGGAUACGGGCAGACUAGAGGUAGGUAGGGGAGAAUGGAAUUCCCGGUGUAGCGGUGAAAUGCGCAGAUAUCAGGAGGAACACCGGUGGCGAAGGCGGGUCUCUGGGCCGAUACUGACGCUGAGGAGCGAAAGCGUGGGGAGCGAACAGG